CCAGCAGCCGCGGUAAUUCCAGCUCCAAUAGCGUAUAUUUAAGUUGUUGCAGUUAAAAAGCUCGUAGUUGGAUUUCGGGCGGGGCCUGCCGGUCCGCCUCUGGUGUGCACUGGCAUGGGCUCGCCUCGCUGUCGGGGACGGGCUCCUGGGCUUAACUGUCCGGGACUCGGAGUCGACGAGGUUACUUUGAGUAAAUUAGAGUGUUCAAAGCAGGCCUACGCUCUGAAUACGUUAGCAUGGAAUAACACGAUAGGACUCUGGCCUAUCUUGUUGGUCUGUGGGACCGGAGUAAUGAUUAAGAGGGACGGUCGGGGGCAUUCGUAUUUCAUUGUCAGAGGUGAAAUUCUUGGAUUUAUGAAAGAC
rnacentral:rRNA from 1 species